GCCUCAUUGGCCGUCGUAGAGUUUCGUCUUGAAGUUAUAUUUUGUGAAGGUUUAUUCGAAUAAACAGCUUUACCAACCAUGAAAACGAAUUUGGAUAAUAAUUAUGAACAUUGGUCUCAAACAGCACCAUAUCGAUGUCGAUUGUUUCUGCAAUUUAUUUGCAUCAGCAAUGGGUCAGACGAUGAUCCAGGUCAAAAGCGAGGCUUCUGGGAGGUAAUCAACAUUUCACAUAAAUAAGAUGAAAUGGAUUUUUAAGACGGAAGCAGAUAAAUAAUAUUAUAUAACCAGAUUUUAUAUUUAUACUAGAAGUAUCUACACUUCGACAAUUUUAUAAAAGUUUUA